rnacentral:rRNA from 1 species
AACGAACGCUGGCGGCAGGCUUAACACAUGCAAGUCGAACGCCACGCAAGGGGAGUGGCAGACGGGCGAGUAACGCGUGGGAAUCUACCCAACUCUACGGAAUAACUCAGGGAAACUUGUGCUAAUACCGUAUACGCCCUUCGGGGGAAAGAUUUAUCGGAGUUUGAUGAGCCCGCGUUGGAUUAGCUAGUUGGUGGGGUAAAGGCCUACCAAGGCGACGAUCCAUAGCUGGUCUGAGAGGAUGAUCAGCCACAUUGGGACUGAGACACGGCCCAACCUCCUACGCGAGGCAGCAGUGGGGAAUAAUGGACAAUGGGCACAAGCCUGUUCCAGCCAUGCCUCGUGACUGAAAAAGGCCCUAGGGUUGUAAAUCUCUUUCACCGGUGAAGAUAAGGACGGUAACCGGAGAAGAAGCCCCGGCUAACUUCGUGCCAGCAGCCGCAGUGA